rnacentral:misc_RNA from 1 species
GAAAUGCGAUAAGUAAUGUGAAUUGCAGAAUUCAGUGAAUCAUCGAAUCUUUGAACGCACCUUGCGCUCCUUGGUAUUCCGAGGAGCAUGCCUGUUUGAGUGUCAUUAAAUUCUCAACCCCACUAGCUUUUGUGAGCUAUGCUGGGGCUUGGAUGUUGGGAGUUUGCGGGCCUUUACUAGGUCGGCUCUCCUGAAAUACAUUAGCGGAACCGUUUGCAGUCCCGUCACUAGUGUGAUAAUUAUCUACACUGUGAUGACUGCUCUCUGACUAGUUCAGCUGCUAAUCGUCCACUGUGGACAAUCAUUAAUGAACUUCUUGACCUCAAAUCAGGUAGGACUACCCGCUGAACUUAA